AACGCAUAUUGCGCUCCUUUUGGAGCAUGUUUGUUUGAGAACCGUUUCAACCCUCACACCCCUCAUAUUUAUUUACGUGGGGAACCGUGGAAAUGGAAGGUUUCCAAUUGAUUAGUACUAUUGGAAUCCUAUCUGAAAAAAAAUGUCGGUUUUUUUGCUUGUGGAAACCUACAAGACGUGAUGAUGCGGUUAUUAUGACUGCUUUUCAUCGUCGGUCAGGAGAAACAAAGCGCUUUAUGGAAAACGACAAACCAGGCAAUCGAACCUUUUUUUUGGGAACGAUUGAAAUACCUGAACUAUGGUCUCAAAUCAAGCAAGAGGACCCGCUGAACUUAA
rnacentral:misc_RNA from 1 species